rnacentral:rRNA from 1 species
UGUUGCCUACGGGGCGCAGCAGUGGGGGAUACUGCACAAUGGGGGGAACCCUGAUGCAGCGACGCCGCGUGGGUGAAGAAGCGCCUCGGCGCGUAAAGCCCUGUCAGCAGGGAAGAAAAUGACGGUACCUGAAGAAGAAGCCCCGGCUAACUACGUGCCAGCAGCCGCGGUAAUACGUAGGGGGCAAGCGUUAUCCGGAUUUACUGGGUGUAAAGGGGGCGCAGACGGCGAUGCAAGCCAGGAGUGAAAGCCCGGGGCCCCACCCCCGGGACUGCUCUUGGAACGGCGUGGCUGGAGUGCAGGAG